UACGUAGGUGGCAAGCGUUGUUCGGAAUUAUUGGGCGUAAAGGGCGCGUAGGCGGUCGGUUAAGUCAGCUGUGAAAGCCCGGGGCUCAACCCCGGAGGGUCGGCUGAUACUGAUUGACUAGAGUACGGAAGAGGUAGCUGGAAUUCCCGGUGUGGCGGUGAAAUGCGUAGAUAUCGGGAGGAACACCUGAGGCGAAGGCGGGCUACUGGGCCGAUACUGACGCUGAGGCGCGAAAGCCAGGGGAGCAAACGGG
rnacentral:rRNA from 1 species